rnacentral:rRNA from 2 species
GUGCGAGACCGAUAGCGAACAAGUACCGUGAGGGAAAGAUGAAAAGAACUUUGAAAAGAGAGUUAAAGAGUACCUGAAACUGCUGAAAGGGAACCGAAUCGUAUCCAGUGUCUAUAAUCCAUGGCAUAUUUCAUUGGCGAAUGAGUGCGUGCGGCGUUUUGGAAGUGGUUUCCGCUCCUGUCGUUGUUGUGCAUUUUUUUGCUGGUGCCCUGUGCUGUGGUGGGACGUCAGAGUCAGUUUGUAUGCUGCGGGAAAUGGUUAUUGGGGAGGUAGGUCGCUUCGGUGGCUGUUAUAUCCUGGUGACUAGUCGUCGUGGCUGAGACUGAGGUGCCUACAAUGUGCUUUCGAGUCUGCGGAUUUCUCGUGUGGAUGUUUGCUUGGAUAGCUUGCUAUGUUGGCGAAUAGAUCGUGCGAUUGAGAUUUGUAGUAACUUGUUGCUGUUCGGGACUUUGAA